rnacentral:rRNA from 1 species
UACGUAGGCAGCAAGCGUUGUUCGGAGUUACUGGGCGUAAAGGGUGCGUAGGCGGUUGUUUAAGUUUGGUGUGAAAUCUCCCGGCUCAACUGGGAGGGUGCGCCGAAAACUGGGGGGCUAGAGUGCGGGAGGGGAGAGUGGAAUUCCUGGUGUAGCGGUGAAAUGCGUAGAUAUCAGGAGGAACACCGGUGGUGUAGACGGCUCUCUGGACCGUAACUGACGCUGAGACACGAAAGCGUGGGUAGCAAACAGG